rnacentral:rRNA from 1 species
GACGAACGCUGGCGGCGUGCUUAACACAUGCAAGUCGAACGGAAAGGCCCUGCUUGCAGGGUCCUCGAGUGGCGAACGGGUGAGUAACACGUGGGUGAUCUGCCCUGCACUUCGGGAUAAGCCUGGGAAACUGGGUCUAAUACCGGAUAGGAGCCAUUUUUAGUGUGAUGGUUGGAAAGUUUUUUCGGUGUAGGAUGAGCUCGCGGCCUAUCAGCUUGUUGGUGGGGUAAUGGCCUACCAAGGCGGCGACGGGUAGCCGGCCUGAGAGGGUGGACGGCCACAUUGGGACUGAGAUACGGCCCAGACUCCUACGGGAGGCAGCAGUGGGGAAUAUUGCACAAUGGGCGCAAGCCUGAUGCAGCGACGCCGCGUGGGGGAUGACGGCCUUCGGGUUGGAAACUCCUUUCGCUAGGGACGAAGCUUUUUGUGACGGUACCUAGAUAAGAAGCACCGGCUAACUACGUG